rnacentral:rRNA from 1 species
CAGUCGCCGCGGGAAUACGAAGGGUGCAAGCGUUACUCGGAAUUACUGGGCGUAAAGCGUGCGUAGGUGGUGGUUUAAGUCCGUUGUGAAAGCCCUGGGCUCAACCUGGGAAUUGCAGUGGAUACUGGGUCACUAGAGUGUGGUAGAGGAUAGUGGAAUUUCCGGUGUAGCAGUGAAAUGCGUAGAGAUCGGAAGGAACACCUGUGGCGAAAGCGGCUCACUGGACCAUAACUGACGCUGAUGCACGAAAGCUAGGGGAGCAAACAGGAUUAGAUACCCCGUAGUCCCUGUCUCUUAUACC